GACGAACGCUGGCGGCGUGCUUAACACAUGCAAGUCGAACGGAAAGGCCUUUUCGGAGGUACUCGAGUGGCGAACGGGUGAGUAACACGUGGGUGAUCUGCCCUGCACUCUGGGAUAAGCCUGGGAAACUGGGUCUAAUACCGGAUAGGACCGCACUUUAGUGUGUGUGGUGGAAAGUUUUUUCGGUGUAGGAUGAGCCCGCGGCCUAACAGCUUGUUGGUGGGGUAAUGGCCUACCAAGGCGGCGACGGGUAGCCGGACUGAGAGGUUGGUCGGCCACAUUGGGACUGAGAGACAGCCCAGACUCCUACGGGAGGCAGCAGUAGGGAAAAUUGCACAAUGGGCGCAAGCCUGAUGCAGCGACGCCGCGGGGGGGAGGACGGCCUUCGGGUUGAAAACUCCUUUCGCCAGGGACGAAGCGUUUUGUGACGGUACCUUGAGAAGAAGCACCGGCUAACUACGUG
rnacentral:rRNA from 1 species